GCUUGCUCCACCGGAAAAAGAAGAGUGGCGAACGGGUGAGUAACACGUGGGUAACCUGCCCAUCAGAAGGGGAUAACACUUGGAAACAGGUGCUAAUACCGUAUAACAAUCGAAACCGCAUGGUUUUGAUUUGAAAGGCGCUUUCGGGUGUCGCUGAUGGAUGGACCCGCGGUGCAUUAGCUAGUUGGUGAGGUAACGGCUCACCAAGGCCACGAUGCAUAGCCGACCUGAGAGGGUGAUCGGCCACAUUGGGACUGAGACACGGCCCAAACUCCUACGGGAGGCAGCAGUAGGGAAUCUUCGGCAAUGGACGAAAGUCUGACCGAGCAACGCCGCGUGAGUGAAGAAGGUUUUCGGAUCGUAAAACUCUGUUGUUAGAGAAGAACAAGGAUGAGAGUAACUGUUCAUCCCUUGACGGUAUCUAACCAGAAAGCCACGGCUAACUACGUGCCCAGCA
rnacentral:rRNA from 1 species